rnacentral:lncRNA from 1 species
CGCCGUCAGGUGCCGCUGCGCCGUGAGCCUCCGGCCCCGCCGCCGCCUUGUAAGGGGACUACCGGAUCUAGGCGCGGCGACUGGAUCUAGGACCGGAGGUGGGGAGGGGGCGGCGGAGAGCAGGCGCGGCCGCCGGAGGUGGGGAGGGGGCGAUGGAGAGGAGGCGGGAGGCUGCGGAGAGGAGCAGUAAAGCAGGUAGGGUUAGGGUCUUGGGGAUGGAUGGUGGGUGCUGCGGGAGCUGGAUGCUGGACGGAGAGGAGGGAGGGG